UACAGAGGUCUCAAGCGUUGUUCGGAUUCAUUGGGCGUAAAGGGUGCGUAGGCGGCGCGGUAAGUCGGGUGUGAAAUCUUGGAGCUUAACUCCGAAACUGCAUUCGAUACUGCCGUGCUUGAGGACUGGAGAGGAGACUGGAAUUUACGGUGUAGCGGUGAAAUGCGUAGAUAUCGUGAGGAAGACCAGUGGCGAAGGCGGAUCUCUGGACAGUUCCUGACGCUGAGGCGCGAAGGCCAGGGGAGCAAACGGG
rnacentral:rRNA from 1 species